CUUACCCUGAGUUUCCCACAGCACUGUGCUCUACACUCAUAUGUAUUUUCCUGGUGUAGCUGUGACCAUAAUCACUUGUGAAAGGGACUUGGGGUAGAGUGAUUUGUUCCUGACCAGAACGAGCAAUUCCUAGAUGCCUCGCAUCAUCUCACUUUAACCAAAAUGAGCUUUCUACCCUCAUGUUUCUCCCUGGAUUUGGCCAGGAAUUGUAUUGCAGAGAAGGAGACCUCUUGUGCUAAACUGAGGCCACAGAUGCCACAUCGGGCCCUUGCACAGUGUUAUAUUCUUGCCUUGGAAAAGAACUGAACACCAAAGGAGGAGCCAGGCCACCACAGGCAAUGCCAUACUGUGCUAGGAGUGUCUCUCCAAGGCAAGCCUGACACUACAGUCAUGCAGUGACUACAGUGUCUGUGAACACGUCCCAACAAGCUUUAAACUGGCAAGCACACUUCCUACUAAUACUAGGUUAGGCUUUUAUGCGUUCUUGGAGGUCAUGAUGUUAAGCAAGGAAAACAAACUCCUGUUUUCUAAUGAACUGCAAGGAUGAGUUCUGCAGAGCCUUCUCACAGCUGCUGCACUGCCAGGGCUCCUGUGCCAGCCCGACUUCAGUCCUGCGCGCUGCCUUUGCGCUGUCCAGGCUGCAAGAAUGGAUUUGAUGCUUAAAACAAUGAAAUGAAAGGAAUCCGAGGAUGGGACUGUGGAAGUCACGUGCUGGUGAGAAUAGGGUAAUCAACACAAACAUCAAGCAAAACAAUUACUGUAAUUAUGUCAAAUUUUGUUUGGGGAGUAAUGGAGCCUAAUGCACAAAUAUGACGUUAUUUUCUUGCAUCAGCCUGGUGGUCCAGGCAGGUAUAUAAAACCAUUCAUGAUUCAGAAACCUUUCAGCAGGUUCUCUUGACUUCUCCUCGGUGAACUGAGUCUACAUCACAGCUAAAAGAUGUCUUGUGAUAAAACUGUCUGCGCUGAGCCGUGUUCUGCCCCAUGUGAUGCGAAAUGCCCCGAGCCCCGUGCCGCUGCCUGCAAUGAGCCCUGCACCAUCACCUGCCCAGACUCCCGCGUGAUUAUAUUCCCACCUCCAGUGGUCGUGACCUUCCCAGGACCCAUCCUCACUACCUACCCACAAGAAACCGUCGUGGGCUCCACAGAGUCAGCUGAGCUGGCUGGUGCAUUAGAGUCGGGUGUGGCAAUAGGGUCAGCACAGAAAGGGACUGAGUGCUUGGAGCCCUGCAUCGAUCGGAGUGUCCCACAGAUUGUGGCAAAGUGCGAGCCCCAGUGCGUCCCACAGUGUGCUCCCCAGUGCGUCCCACAAUGCGCUCCCCAGUGCACUCCCCAGUGCGUCCCACAGUGCGCUCCCCAGUGUGCUCCCCAGUGCACUCCCCAGUGCGUGCCGGAGUGUUCCUACACCUAUUCCACCCGCUGGGUGCAUCCUUGUCAGAGGCCCUUCUGUUAGAAGAUGUAAUCAUCUUAGAACAGAGAAUAAUCACGGGAAAAGAACAAGCAAAGAAGUGAAAGAAUAUGGCAUGUGAUUUACAGGCAUGGUUACUGGAGAGGGAAGCAACCCCCAAACCAGGGCCCUACAUUUUAUUCCUGUAGAAUGCUUUAGCUUAGAUUAAUGCUUGCUUUAUUCUUGUGGCUUUGCAUCUUCUGCCUGUGCUUUUGACUUUCUCUACCCAGUUUGACAUUGACCAUGGCUUUAAAACAAAGCACACAUAGGGAUUUGAAUGUCAGACUCAGCAAGAAUGAGGAAAGUGAACAUCUUGAUGAAAUGUGUCACACUGGAAUGGGUAAUUAGUUUUAGUUUUUCUUGUCUCUAGAAAUAUGCUCUUCCUAGUCUGCAUUAUUCUUUCUGCAAAUGUUUAGUCCACUUUGCAUUUACAUUAAAAUGCUACUGCAUCAAA